rnacentral:rRNA from 1 species
GCAUUCCGUAUAGGGGCGGGGCGACAUGGCCAGCGUAACAGGAGCCGCAUGGUUCCUUGAUGCUUAGCGGCGGACGGGUGAGUAACACGUAGGCAACCUGCCCUCAAGCUUGGGACAACUACCGGAAACGGUAGCUAAUACCGAAUACUUGCUUUCUUCGCCUGAAGGAAGCUGGAAAGACGGAGCAAUCUGUCACUUGAGGAUGGGCCUGCGGCGCAUUAGCUAGUUGGUGAGGUAACGGCUCACCAAGGCGACGAUGCGUAGCCGACCUGAGAGGGUGAUCGGCCACACUGGGACUGAGACACGGCCCAGACUCCUACGGGAGGCAGCAGUAGGGAAUCUUCCGCAAUGGGCGAAAGCCUGACGGAGCAAUGCCGCGUGAGUGAUGAAGGUUUUCGGAUCGUAAAGCUCUGUUGCCAGGGAAGAACGUCCUUGAGAGUAACUGCUCAAGGAGUGACGGUACCUGAGAAGAAAGCCCCGGCUAACUACGUGCCAGCAGCCGCGGUAAUACGUAGGGGGCAAGCGUUGUCCGGAAUUAUUGGGCGUAAAGCGCGCGCAGGCGGUCAUUUAAGUCUGGUGUUUAAUCCCGGGGCUCAACCCCGGAUCGCACUGGAAACUGGAUGACUUGAGUGCAGAAGAGGAGAGUGGAAUUCCACGUGUAGCGGUGAAAUGCGUAGAUAUGUGGAGGAACACCAGUGGCGAAGGCGACUCUCUGGGCUGUAACUGACGCUGAGGCGCGAAAGCGUGGGGAGCAAACAGGGAUUAGAUACCCUGGGUAGUCCACGCCGUAAACGAUGAGUGCUAGGUUGUUAGGGGUUUCGAUACCCUUGGGUUGCCGAAGGUUU